UACGUAGGUGGCGAGCGUUGUCCGGAUUUACUGGGCGUAAAGAGCGCGCAGGCGGUCGUGCAAGUCGCGUGUGAAAGCCCCCGGCUCAACUGGGGAGGGUCACGCGAUACUGCUCGACUCGAAGGCAGGAGAGGGAAGUGGAAUUCCCGGUGUAGUGGUGAAAUGCGUAGAUAUCGGGAGGAACACCAGUGGCGAAGGCGACUUCCUGGCCUGUUCUUGACGCUGAGGCGCGAAGCUAGGGGAGCAAACGGG
rnacentral:rRNA from 1 species